AUUGAACGCUGGCGGCAGGCCUAACACAUGCAAGUCGAGCGAGCGGCGGACGGGUGAGUAAUGUCUGGGAAACUGCCCGAUGGAGGGGGAUAACUACUGGAAACGGUAGCUACUACCGCAUACUAUCAGAUGUCCCCAUAUGGGAUUAGCUAGUAGGUGAGGUAAUGGCUCACCUAGGCGACGAUCCCUAGCUGGUCUGAGAGGAUGAUCAGCCACACUGGGACUGAGACACGGCCCAGACUCCUACGGGAGGCAGCAGUGGGGAAUAUUGCACAAUGGGCGCAAGCCUGAUGCAGCCAUGCCGCGGGUGUGAAGAAGGCCUUAGGGUUGUAAAGUACUUUCAGUCGGGAGGCGUUACCGACAGAAGAAGCACCGGCUAACUCCGUGCCAGCAGCCGCGGUAAUAC
rnacentral:rRNA from 1 species